AGUGUUGGGAUAAGCAUUGUAUGCAAAUAAAAAUGCCUAAAUUGGUUUGUUCAAAAAAUAAAUAAAUAAAUGGCCUAAAUUACCAACCCUCUUAAAACAGUUUUCCUUAUAAGAAUACAUCGAGGGUUAUAUAUAUGAUAAAACCAACGAAGACACAACUAUAUAAUAGAGUUCAAUAAUAUUAGUACUCCUUAUCUGUCACCAAUAUGGCGAAGUACUCUUGGAGUUGGAACAACAAGGUCGUAAUUUUCUUGGUGGUGCUAUUGUUCGUAAUAACAACCCUGGGAUAUGGUGUGGAUGGUAUUAGUGAACCGAAAGUAGCUUGCAGAGAUUCUAGGGAUUGCGACGAAGAGGCCUGUAAUGGAUGCCUCAUUUGCAAUUGUGUCGAGGGUUAUUGCGAAUAUGUCUGCGGCAAAUCACAGCCAACAACAACACCCAAACUCCCUUAUAUAUAUUCCAACACAUAACUAAAACAAAUAUGUGUGUUUUAAAUUAAUAUAUAUUUAUAUCAUCAAAUAAGAUAUAUAUUUAUGUUUUAUUUGUUUAA